UGCAAUCAAUGAUGAUUUUUUUUCACAAUUACUGAUUGAACAGUGAUUAAUAUAAAAAUACCACCAUCUUUCGGCUGAGAUUGCA
rnacentral:snoRNA from 1 species